AAUCUGUCAAUUUUUCUGAGAGUUUGAUCCUGGCUCAGGAUUAACGCUGGCGGCAUGCCUAAUACAUGCAAGUCGAUCGGAAGUAGUAAUACUUUAGAGGCGAACGGGUGAGUAACACGUAUCCAAUCUACCUUAUAAUGGGGGAUAACUAGUUGAAAGACUAGCUAAUACCGCAUAAGAACUUUGGUUCGCAUGAAUCAAAGUUGAAAGGACCUGCAAGGGUUCGUUAUUUGAUGAGGGUGCGCCAUAUCAGCUAGUUGGUGGGGUAACGGCCUACCAAGGCAAUGACGUGUAGCUAUGCUGAGAAGUAGAAUAGCCACAAUGGGACUGAGACACGGCCCAUACUCCUACGGGAGGCAGCAGUAGGGAAUUUUUCACAAUGAGCGAAAGCUUGAUGGAGCAAUGCCGCGUGAACGAUGAAGGUCUUUAAGAUUGUAAAGUUCUUUUAUUUGGGAAGAAUGACUUUAGCAGGUAAUGGCUAGAGUUUGACUGUACCAUUUUGAAUAAGUGACGACUAACUAUGUGCCAGCAGUCGCGGUAAUACAUAGGUCGCAAGCGUUAUCCGGAUUUAUUGGGCGUAAAGCAAGCGCAGGCGGAUUGAAAAGUCUGGUGUUAAAGGCAGCUGCUUAACAGUUGUAUGCAUUGGAAACUAUUAAUCUAGAGUGUGGUAGGGAGUUUUGGAAUUUCAUGUGGAGCGGUGAAAUGCGUAGAUAUAUGAAGGAACACCAGUGGCGAAGGCGAAAACUUAGGCCAUUACUGACGCUUAGGCUUGAAAGUGUGGGGAGCAAAUAGGAUUAGAUACCCUAGUAGUCCACACCGUAAACGAUAGAUACUAGCUGUCGGGGCGAUCCCCUCGGUAGUGAAGUUAACACAUUAAGUAUCUCGCCUGGGUAGUACAUUCGCAAGAAUGAAACUCAAACGGAAUUGACGGGGACCCGCACAAGUGGUGGAGCAUGUUGCUUAAUUCGACGGUACACGAAAAACCUUACCUAGACUUGACAUCCUUGGCAAAGUUAUGGAAACAUAAUGGAGGUUAACCGAGUGACAGGUGGUGCAUGGUUGUCGUCAGCUCGUGUCGUGAGAUGUUGGGUUAAGUCCCGCAACGAGCGCAACCCUUAUCGUUAGUUACAUUGUCUAGCGAGACUGCUAAUGCAAAUUGGAGGAAGGAAGGGAUGACGUCAAAUCAUCAUGCCCCUUAUGUCUAGGGCUGCAAACGUGCUACAAUGGCCAAUACAAACAGUCGCCAGCUUGUAAAAGUGAGCAAAUCUGUAAAGUUGGUCUCAGUUCGGAUUGAGGGCUGCAAUUCGUCCUCAUGAAGUCGGAAUCACUAGUAAUCGCGAAUCAGCUAUGUCGCGGUGAAUACGUUCUCGGGUCUUGUACACACCGCCCGUCAAACUAUGAAAGCUGGUAAUAUUUAAAAACGUGUUGCUAACCAUUAGGAAGCGCAUGUCAAGGAUAGCACCGGUGAUUGGAGUUAAGUCGUAACAAGGUACCCCUACGAGAACGUGGGGGUGGAUCACCUCCUUUCUAAUGGAG
rnacentral:rRNA from 8 species